GGAAUGGCCCUGACAGUUGUUUUUAGAUAGUUUGGUGUGAGUUUUGAGGGAGAGACUGUGUGUAGGCUGCUGAACACUGAUACUUACAACGAUCAUUCUCUUCGACGUAUGAGUUUCAUUAGAGUAGAUAGUCAUUGGACCAAGGAUCGAGGUGCUGUAGUUGUGGAGGUGGAGGAGGAGGAGGAGGAGCAUGCUGAGGG
rnacentral:lncRNA from 1 species